CCUGACGCUCCCCAGGGCACCCAACUAACCCUACACACUAUUCGUGAAUGGGCCCAAGGAGCCAUAUGCCUGCUGGGAAAUUCUACUGCUGCAUUAUGCGCCGAACGGCGCAGAUCGGCCUCACUCCGCAUUGAUGACAAGUUAUUGGACCUUGGACCCAAAGAGCUCAGACCAGAAGUUAAAGACCAACUGUUCGGUGAAGCCUUCAUUACUGACCUCAAUAGACACAUAGGCCUGCUCACCACUUUAAGCAAAGCACAAACACUUGAAUUACUACGUGGUAUACAGACACUUCAAGAUGGAAGGUAU